GACGUAGGGUGCAAGCGUUGUUCGGAUUCAUUGGGCGUAAAGGGUGCGUAGGUGGCGUGGUAAGUCGGGUGUGAAAUUUCGGAGCUUAACUCCGAAACUGCAUUCGAUACUGCUGUGCUUGAGGACUGGAGAGGAGACUGGAAUUUACGGUGUAGCAGUGAAAUGCGUAGAGAUCGUAAGGAAGACCAGUGGCGAAGGCGGGUCUCUGGACAGUUCCUGACACUGAGGCACGAAGGCCAGGGGAGCAAACGGG
rnacentral:rRNA from 1 species